CCUACCUAUAAGACUGGGAUAACUUCGGGAAACCGGAGCUAAUACCGGAUAAUAUAUUGAACCGCAUGGUUCAAUAGUGAAAGACGGUUUUGCUGUCACUUAUAGAUGGAUCCGCGCCGCAUUAGCUAGUUGGUAAGGUAACGGCUUACCAAGGCAACGAUGCGUAGCCGACCUGAGAGGGUGAUCGGCCACACUGGAACUGAGACACGGUCCAGACUCCUACGGGAGGCAGCAGUAGGGAAUCUUCCGCAAUGGGCGAAAGCCUGACGGAGCAACGCCGCGUGAGUGAUGAAGGUCUUCGGAUCGUAAAACUCUGUUAUUAGGGAAGAACAAAUGUGUAAGUAACUAUGCACGUCUUGACGGUACCUAAUCAGAAAGCCACGGCUAACUACGUGCCAGCAGCCGCGGUAAUACGUAGGUGGCAAGCGUUAUCCGGAAUUAUUGGGCGUAAAGCGCGCGUAGGCGGUUUUUUAAGUCUGAUGUGAAAGCCCACGGCUCAACCGUGGAGGGUCAUUGGAAACUGGAAAACUUGAGUGCAGAAGAGGAAAGUGGAAUUCCAUGUGUAGCGGUGAAAUGCGCAGAGAUAUGGAGGAACACCAGUGGCGAAGGCGACUU
rnacentral:rRNA from 1 species